GAAAUGAUCCCUGCAGGCUGAACAAAAACCUGCAGAUGAACAGAUGUUAGUGUUUGUGACAGAAAGAGAGCAGGAAACCACAGCCAGGUUCACAUGUUUCACCUCCAUCUCAAAAAGAUUCUCAAGCACAAUGAAACUGAAUCCAAAUUAAAGAAACAAAACAAAAAAGCAGAGGAAAAAUGAAAUCAUGAAAGUGUGAAACACUAUAAACCCUGAAGAACCCAUGAUGACAUCAGUGUAACAGAACAUUAGAAACAUGUUCAUUGAACUCCUUGAUCUGUGGUACAUACCACAUAUUUUACUUUUUAGGAAAAAUUAGUCUUGGCUAUACAUGUUAAUAAUAAACAUAUGAAUACUAUAUUACAACAUUUUUAAAAGUUAAAAAACUACAAACCACUAAAACUGCAGUGGAGAAAUCCUUAUUUCUAACAUUGUUGGGAGUGUUAUUAAAGAAUGUUUUUUCAUAUUUAGUCGCUACUUCGCCUUAAAUUUAACUGGGUUAGUAACUGAAUUACUCUAUAAUAAAAUAGUAUAAUAUUAAGUGGUUACCAGAAAACACAACUACUUCACAGUUUUUAUCAAAUGCUAAAACACAAAAGCCAAUCCCCUAAACAAAGUGACCAGUUGUUGAAACACAUUUACUAAAUCUAGCCACCUUUUUACAAUAUCAUAAACACAUUUCACAUGAAGGCACACUUCAUAAAACACAAUCCGUUCUCAUAAAUCUUAACACAUUUUUCUUUGCUAUCAUGAAAGUGUGAAACACUAUAAACCCUGAAGAACCCAUGAUGACAUCAGUGUAACAGAACAUUAGAAACAUGUUCAUUGAACUCCUUGAUCUGUGGUACAUACCACAUAUUUUACUUUUUAGGAAAAAUUAGUCUUGGCUAUACAUGUUAAUAAUAAACAUAUGAAUACUAUAUUACAACAUUUUUAAAAGUUAAAAAACUACAAACCACUAAAACUGCAGUGGAGAAAUCCUUAUUUCUAACAUUGUUGGGAGUGUUAUUAAAGAAUGUUUUUUCAUAUUUAGUCGCUACUUCGUCUUAAAUUUAACUGGGUUAGUAACUGAAUUACUCUAUAAUAAAAUAGUAUAAUAUUAAGUGGUUACCAGAAAACACAACUAUUUCACAGUUUUUAUCAAAUGCUAAAACACAAAAGCCAAUCCCCUAAACAAAGUGACCAGUUGUUGAAACACAUUUACUAAAUCUAGCCACCUUUUUACAAUAUCAUAAACACAUUUCACAUGAAGGCACACUUCAUAAAACACAAUCCGUUCUCAUAAAUCUUAACACAUUUUUCUUUGCUAAAACACAAGUUGAAAAAGAACUCUGCUCAUAUUCUCAAAUGAAAGCUCGUGAUACAAAACACUUGCCACAGUCAGCAAUAUUUGAACACAAUGAACACAUCUAGCGUCAUUCAUUAAACACAACAACUCAAAAUUGAAGACAUUUGUUGCUAAUGCUGUGACCACACGUUAAAAAAGCAAGUUUAGAGAACACAGUUUGAUGAAGAUUUCAAAUAAGCACAAUGGUUGAAGGAAGAGUCAGGGGAAGAGGAAUUUGAGUCAGAGGAGGAAGAAGAGCUGGUCAUGGAGGAAGAGGAGCAAGCCAAUGAGGAAGAGGAGUUGAAAUUAGAAGAGGAACAGAGGAAGAGGCCAACAAGGGAGAGGAGGAGGUCCAGGAAGGAGAGCAAGACAACCUUGCACCAUCAUUAUGAACGAGAUGCGAGCAACAGUCAUUGACCAUGUCAUUGUCCAUGGCAUGACAAUGGCUGAAGCGGACUAAGAGUCCGUCUAAACCUGAGUAGGUUCAUCGUGGCCACCAUUAUCAGGGCAUUUGACCGGCAGAAGUGGAGGCAAAGAGGCCGUAACAUCAUUAGCCAUGAUGUUUUGCUGUAGUGUGUAAUGAUGUGUGUAGUAGUUACAUUUUUGAAAGCUUCAAGCAGCUAUUGUGCUGUGAAAGUUUGAGUUUUGAAAUGAGAAGGUGUGGUUGUGUUUCUGUGGCUUUAGAAAAGGAUGUUGUGUUUAGACAAUGGGGAACAUGGAGGACACGUUUGUGAAAUGUGUUUUAGCAUUUGAGAAAAACUGUAACUGUGUCAAAAAGUUUGUCUGUCAAUAUUUGGAUUUUUCUGAUCAGUUUUCACAAUUCAUUUGAAAUGAUUCAGUUAGACUAAAAACGACAUAUUACACAGUAGUAAGUAUUGUAUUUGCAAACAAAAAUUCAAAUAACAUGAAGUGUGUUUAACUCUGUUAAACAAAUUCAUAUUUAAAUCUCAGACAACUGUACUUAUUUUCUGUAUGUAAAAAAAAGUAUCAUGGACCUUCCCCAGCAUUCAUUGCCAGUUUGCUGCGGCCUGUUGCGGUAAGAUUCCAGCAUGGGGUUGUAGCUCCGGGUGGGGGAUAAGGAUAAUGUGUCAAAAUAUCCUCUGUGGCUUGUUUGUGCCAGCCUUAAGAGAGCUUCCCAGUCAUACUUGAUGUGAGUUAACACUCUGUGGACGUUUUGAGACAGAAACAGAUCUAACAAAAUCAAAAUAAAACAAAACCUGACUCCUGAGAGUGGCGCAAUGUCGCACACUGGGGAGUGUCAUCUUGAUCACCUAUAAAUAAUAAAUUAAAUAAUAAAGGCUAGUCCUCGUCAGUUAUACAGGACACCCGAAGCCACCCAGGCCUUUGAGACCCUUUGAGUCCCACUUCUCCCAGGCUCACAUUCUUCGCCCUCUGGAUCCCAUGUCCCAGUUCAAUGUGGAUGUAGACACCUCUAGUACCGACAUUGUGGGGGGUCCUAUCCCAAUGCCAUGGUCAGUCGGCCAAAUCAUACCGCUGUGCCUACUACUUUUGGAAGCUCACCGAGUAGUAGGCACUCGUUGACCAUGAGCUGUUGGCCUUGAAUGCAGCAUUUGGUGAGUGGUGGCAUUGGUUAGAGGGGGCAUUGCUAAUAUUCAUUGUUUUGACCGACCACUACAGCCUGUAGUACAUCCGUACUGCCAAACAAUUCAACCCUUGCCAGGCACGCUGGUCAUUGUUCUUUUCUUGUUUCCAAUUCCAGAUCACCUACCACCUUUGCUCCAAGCACCGCAAAGCCGAUGCUUGGAGAUCCAAGACACCUCCCCUAAUGCUCCGUCGGAUUCCAAACACAUUGCCUCACUGUUGCUCAUCCUGGCUAAGCAAGUGCUCCACCUGGUCCAUGACACACCUGCCGCAGGCCAUCCUGGUACUACCACCACACAAACCCUAACUGUUUCUGGUGGUCCACCCUGCAGACAGACGUUGCACAGUACAUCGCCCUGUGUUCCACCUGCCAGAGGACCAAGGUCCAGUUGGUCUCCUGCAGCCGCUACCCAUUCCACGCUGGCCCUGGUCUCAUAUCGUAGUGGACCCUGUGACAGAUUUGCCCUGGUCUUAGGGUAACAUCAUCAUUCUGACUGUAGUGGACUGUUUCUCCAAGGCAUGUCGGUUGAUCCCUAGCUCUGGAGACUUCUGAGCGAACAGGUCCCUCGCUUCUGGAGCCGCUCGUCUGGGGUUUUUUGUCAUGAAUCGGUACCCUGUCUCCCCUUCUGGCCAUCAGCAGGAAAUAUCUUGAGAGUGCUAGCACUCCCUGCUACUCCACACUCCACUUCCCAUCAGCCCCUGCUGUCACUCUCAGGAGCCCCAACGCUGUUUCCCAUCACUUCCAGCAGUAUUUAGACAGAGCACUUAACUCAGUGCAACACUUGUUUGUGACUCUGGCCUAAAAUUCUGUGCAUUCUUCCAUCAUCUGCCUCUGCCUGAUCCUUGACUUGCCUGUCUCUGACCCAUGUCUGCCAGCCCCCUACCUCUCCAUGUGUCCUCAAUAAAGUACUGCUCAUGGUU